rnacentral:rRNA from 1 species
UACGGAGGGGGCUAGCGUUGUUCGGAAUUACUGGGCGUAAAGGGCUUGUAGGCGGCCAACUAAGUCCGACGUGAAAUCCCCAGGCUUAACCUGGGAACUGCGUCGGAUACUGGAUGGCUUGAAUUCGGGAGAGGGAUGCAGAAUUCCAGGUGUAGCGGUGAAAUGCGCAGAUAUCGGGAGGAACACCAAUUGCGAAGGCAGCUCGCUGGGACGUUACUGACGCUGAGACGCGAAAGCGUGGGGAGCAAACAGG